rnacentral:rRNA from 1 species
AUGAGUAACGCUGCGCACUGUCCACAGCUACAGCCAUGGUUAGGCCGAGCUAAAGCAAAAACUCAAGGAAUCUUGCAGCUAGUACGAACCCCAUUAGUCAGUCCUCUUCCCUGCUCUUCUCUUCACUCUGACCACACCAAGCACAAACCGAGAGAUGGGUUCGAGAGAGGAAUAGAGAGAUCAAUGGCGGUGGUGAGUUCUUCGCUGGGCGUGUUGGGUCCCUUGGUGGGGAAGCUCACUGGUUUGCUUGCCAAUGAGUGUGCCCGCCUGAAAGGCGUCCGUCGCGAGAUCCGCUCGCUCAGAUCCGAGCUGACCUGCAUGCAUGGCGCGGUCCAGAAAUACACGACGCUGCAAGAUCCCGAUGUCCAGGUGAAGGCAUGGAUAUCGUUGCUGAGGGAGCUGGCCUAUGACAUUGAGGAUGUCAUUGACAAGUUCAUCCACCAGCUCGGUAAUGAGGGCCACCAGCACCAGGGUGGCUUCAAGGAGUUCUUUCGCAAGACUGCUCGCCGGCUCAAGACCAUGGGCUCCCGCCGUGGAAUCGCCAGCCAAAUCGAAGAUCUGAAGAUUCGUCUCAAGGAGGUAAAAGAGUUAAAAAGUAGUUACAAGUUGGAUGAUAUUCCCUUCGAACAUUCAACUGUGGAUCCUCGCUUGUCUGCUCUUUUUGUUGAGGAAACACACCUCGUGCGCAUUGAUGGUCCAAGAGAUGAUCUUGCCAAUUGGAUGUUGGAAGAUAAAAAUGGCUCGAUCAAGGAUCGCAAGGUGUUGUCCAUUGUUGGCUUCGGUGGAUUGGGAAAAACAACACUUGCAAGGGAGGUCUACCGUAAGAUCCGAGGGCAUUUUGAUUGUCAGGCUUUUGUCUCGGUCUCACAAAAGCCUAAUGUAAAGAAAAUUAUGAAGGAUUUGAUCUCCCAGAUGCCUUGCGAGAAAGAAUUUAUAGAAGGCAUCGACACUUGGGAUGAAGCGGAAUGUAUUGCGAAGCUAANNNNNNNNNNNNNNNNNNNNNNGUAUCUCAUCAUUAUUGAUGAUAUAUGGUCCAUAUCAGCAUGGGACGCUAUUAAAUAUGCUUUCCCGGAGAAUGAUUUUUCUAGCAGAAUUAUUGCUACUACACGCAAUGUUCAUGUAGCAAGAUCAUGUUCUCAUGGUGGUAAUGGCCGCAUGUAUGAAAUGGAAGCCCUAAAUGAUCUCCACUCCAAACGAUUGUUCUUCAAAAGAAUAUUUGGUUCUGAGGACUGCUGCCCUGAUAUGCUAAAACAGGUUUCGAAUAAAAUACUGAAGAAAUGUGGAGGCCUCCCAUUGGCAAUUAUCAGUAUAGCAAGUUUAUUGGCAAACAGACCGGUGGUCAAAGAUGAGUGGGAGAGGGUCAGAAGGUCUGUUGGUUCUGCAUUGGAUAAAAACCGAAGCUUAGAUGGAAUGAAUAACAUAUUAUCCCUUAGUUACAAUGAUCUUUCACCCAAUCUCAAGACCUGCUUGUUAUAUUUAUGUAUAUAUCCUGAGGAUUAUGUGAUUGAGAGAAAUGUUUUAGUGAGGCGAUGGAUAGCAGAAGGCUUCAUCUCUGAAGAGCGCGGACAAAGCAAGCAAGAGGUUGCCGAGAACCACUUCUACGAGCUAAUAAACAAAAGUAUGGUCCAACCGGUUGAAAUUGGCUAUGAUGGAAAGGCUCGUGCUUGUCAAGUCCAUGACAUGAUGCUCGAGCUCAUUAUUUCAAAAUCGGUUGAAGAUAAUUUCAUCUCUUUGGCAGGCCAUGGUCAAACAGAUUUGGCAAAGCGUGAUGGUCUUAUUCGGCGACUAUCGGUCCAGCAUAUUGACCAAGAGCUUGCAUCCAUGUUCAGAAAUGAAGAUCUAAGCCAUGUACGAUCUCUGACAGUGAUAGCAUCAACUUGCAUCAAACACUUGCCUAGGCUUAUUUUGUUUGAAGCUUUGCGUGUACUUGAAUUUCAAUAUUGUGAGAGUCUGCAUGAGUAUGAUAUGAAUGGUAUAGAUAAACUAUUUCAACUGAAGUACCUGAGCCUUAGGGGCACUCAUAUGUCGAAGCUACCAUCAGGGAUUGUGAGGCUAUAUGGUCUAGAGACGCUAGAUCUCAGAGAUACACGUAUAAAGGAAUUGCCCGUUGGAAUUGUUCAGCUCGAUAAGCUGCAACAUCUACUCAUUGCAAGAAAUCCAUAUUCCAAUGUUCCUGACGGUGAAGUGAAGAUACCAAAUGGGAUUGGAAACAUGAACAAUUUACAGGCGAUCUCGGGCUUUAAUAUUAUCAAGAGUUCAUUAUGUGCAGUCGAGGAACUGGGGAAUUUGACCAAUUUGAAGGAACUCCAUCUACAGUUGGACGGUGGAGGAUCUCAGGAAUACAAGAGGCAUGAAGAGAUGUUGCUCUCCUCACUAUGCAAGCUUGGCACCUGCAAACUUCAGUCUUUAUGGAUAUACUCUCCUGAUUCAACACCCCUCCAGCUCUUAGAUUCCUGGUCCCCUCUGCCAUAUAACCUCCAAAUGUUUCAGAUGUCCACCUCCUACGAUUUACCAAAGAUGCCAAAGUGGAUUGUACCAGCACUCACCAGUCUUGCAUACCUGAACAUUAAUUUGAUUGAAGCAACACAGGAGGAUCUGCGGAUGCUUGGAGAGAUGCCUGCCUUACUCAGUCUGAGUAUAACAUUCAACGCUGUCCAAAAAGAAAGGCUUACCUUACAAGGCGUUGCAUUCCCAUGUUUGAAGGAAUUCUACCUUAUUCGUACUUUCCGUUAUGGAAUCGCAAUUUACUUGACGUUUGAAGAAGGGGCAAUGUCAAAGCUGGAGAAGCUUGAGGUGCCGUUGUUUGUUUCAGUGGCAGAAGCCUAUGGAUUCUACUUGGGUCUUGGCCACCUCCCAUGUCUAAGAGACGCCGAAAUUACUCUUUGCAAUAAUGCUGACACAUCUUAUGAAAGCAACUCUGCUGCAGCUGCUGCUAUAAGGAACGAGGCAAAUAGCCAUCCCAAUCAUCCCAGGCUAUCCAUCCGGUGUGAAAUGGAAGAGGGCUACAGCUACAAGGAAGAGAGCUACACCGAAUGA